UCCACUGAAUGUCCUAUAACUUCUUGCAGUUUUCAAAGUCAUUUAAACGUUCCCUAUUUCAGAAGUGGGUGAAAGUAAGAGUCGACAAUGUGACAGUAAUAGCCUACUUAAUCAUCAAGGAGGGACCAGGAGCCAUCAUUUGAUAAGCAUCCUAAAACCCAUGAUGUCUUGGGUCCAAAAGAAUCUUCAAGGACUAGUGGCUGUUAAUCUACCGCAUCAAGACAACAUGGUGACAGAUUAUCUGAGAAGGUAGAAGAUAGACAAGAGAGAAUGGGCUCUAUCAAGCAA